GAUCAAGCUGGCUCAUUCAGAUUUCUUCAGAUCUUAUCUCCCAAGACAGCUGUGAAGCUCAUCAAAGUGUUCCUCCACUGCUCAUACAUCAGUGCUAAGCAGACAUCCCAACCAAAGUGAAGCAAGAAGAAAGUAGUACCAGAAGUGACCUUCAGAGAAUCAUGACAGAAUAUCAGCACCUCCUCCCACAGCUGUGCUCUAAAAGGAUCAAAUAGCGUAGUUCUUCCCUAUCUGAAACCAGAGAACUUCUAAAAAACUACUGAAGCAAUGAAGUAUUGUACACACUCAGCAA